GACAGAGGGUGCAAACGUUGCUCGGAAUUACUGGGCGUAAAGGGCGUGUAGGCGGGCAGGUAAGUCGGGCGUGAAAUCCCUGGGCUCAACCCAGGAACUGCACUCGAAGCUACUUGCCUUGAGUGCCGGAGAGGAAAGCGGAAUUCCUGGUGUAGAGGUGAAAUUCGUAGAUAUCAGGAGGAACACCAGUGGCGAAGGCGGCUUUCUGGACGGUAACUGACGCUGAGACGCGAAAGCGUGGGGAGCAAACAGG
rnacentral:rRNA from 1 species